rnacentral:rRNA from 1 species
GUAAGGAAUAUUGGUCAAUGGAGGGAACUCUGAACCAGCCAUGCCGCGUGAAGGAUGACGGCCCUCUGGGUUGUAAACUUCUUUUGGAUGGGGCGAAAAAACGGGAUUUAUCCUGGACUGACGGUACCAUCAGAAUAAGCACCGGCUAACUCCGUGCCAGCAGCCGCGGUAAUACGGAGGGUGCAAGCGUUAUCCGGAAUCACUGGGUUUAAAGGGUGCGUAGGCGGUUGUAUAAGUCAGGGGUGAAAGCACGCAGCUUAACUGUGUAAUUGCCUUUGAUACUGUACGGCUUGAAUAGGGUUGAGGUUGGCGGAAUGUGACAUGUAGCGGUGAAAUGCAUAGAUAUGUCAUAGAACACCGAUUGCGAAGGCAGCUGACUGGGCCUAUAUUGACGCUGAGGCACGAAAGCGUGGGGAGCGAACAGGAUUAGAAACCCUAGUAGUCC